rnacentral:rRNA from 1 species
UCCUAUGGGGGGCAGCAGUGAGGAAUAUUGGGCAAUGGGCGCAAGCCUGACCCAGCAACGCCGCGUGAAGGAAGAAGGCUUUCGGGUUGUAAAAUUCUUUUGACAGGGAAGAGUAGAAGACGGUACCUGUCGAAUAAGCAAAGGCUAACUACGUGCAAGCAGCCGCGGUAAUACGUAGGUGGCAAGCGUUGUCCGGAUUUACUGGGUGUAAAGGGCGUGUAGCCGGGUUGACAAGUCAGAUGUGAAAUCCUGCGGCUUAACUGCAGACAUGCAUUUGAAACUGUUGAUCUUGAGUACUGGAGAGG